AGUUGAGUAGAACUCUCAGAAGACAUGUGAAAGUUUCUGUAAAUGAUACAGAGGAUGUAACAAAUAGGAGAAAGGAUUUUGGAAGGGAGUAUCGAGUAUCAUGAAGCCACCUGGACAAUGAGGAGAAACUAGUUCAAAAGCUAGGGAACACCUAAGUCCAAAGGUGCUGGGAUUAUGGAUGUGACUAGAGAUUUUAAGGAUCACUCACUGGUAAUAAGAGUAAUUUCCUCACAAGAUAGCCAUUUUGGAAACCUCAGAAAUUAUGAGGGGACAUUUAACUAUGAUCAAGACCUUGGAAGGAGCAGAUCAUUCUGGGCUAUCAAGCGGCCCUGAGCAUGGAUGCCUGAGCACAAAUAGAGGCCCAACAGGAACAGUGCCACCUACUCCACGGAGCUGCCCUCAGUACUAACAUGAACACUUCAAGGAUGGAUGCAAUGGCAUUACUGACACCUGAUAUUGAUGUUUUGUUGUGUGUGUUUACAAGUUCACAUAUGUGUAUGCAGAUACAUGUUUAUGGUGAUA